CGGGACGGGGUGAGUAAUGUCUGGGAAACUGCCUGAUGGAGGGGGAUAACUACUGGAAACGGUAGCUAAUACCGCAUAACGUCGCAAGACCAAAGAGGGGGACCUUGGGCCUCUUGCCAUCGGAUGUGCCCAGAUGGGAUUAGCUAGUAGGUGGGGUAACGGCUCACCUAGGCGACGAUCCCUAGCUGGUCUGAGAGGAUGACCAGCCACACUGGAACUGAGACACGGUCCAG
rnacentral:rRNA from 1 species